rnacentral:rRNA from 1 species
GACGAACGCUGGCGGCGUGCCUAAUACAUGCAAGUUGAGCGAUGAAGCUUGGUGCUUGCGCCCAUUUGAAGAGCAGCGAACGGGUGAGUAACGCGUGGGGAAUCUGCCUUUGAGCGGGGGACAACAUUUGGAAACGAAUGCUAAUACCGCAUAACAACUUUAAACAUAAGUUUUAAGUUUGAAAGAUGCAAUUGCAUCACUCAAAGAUGAUCCCGCGUUGUAUUAGCUAGUUGGUGAGGUAAAGGCUCACCAAGGCGAUGAUACAUAGCCGACCUGAGAGGGUGAUCGGCCACAUUGGGACUGAGACACGGCCCAAACUCCUACGGGAGGCAGCAGUAGGGAAUCUUCGGCAACGGACGAAAGUCUGACCGAGCAACGCCGCGUGAGUGAAGAAGGGUUUCGGAUCGUAAAACUCUGUUGGUAGAGAAGAACGUUGGUGAGAGUGGAAAGCUCAUCAAGUGACGGUAACUACACAGAAAGGGACGGCUAACUACGUG